AUUGAACGCUGGCGGCAGGCCUAACACAUGCAAGUCGAGCGAGGGGCGGACGGGUGAGUAAUGGCUGGGAAUUGCACCGUCGAGGGGGAUAAGAGUUGGAAACGAGUGCUAAUACCGCAUACGACUGGCUUGCUCGGGUGGGGUUAGAUAGUUGGUGAGGUAACGGCUCACCAAGGCGACGAUCCCUAGCUGGCCUGAGAGGAUGAUCGGCCACACUGGAACUGAGACACUGUCCAGACUCCUACGGGAGGCAGCAGUGGGGAAUAUUGCACAAUGGAGGAAAGCCUGAGCCAGCCAUGCCGCGUGUGUGAAGAAGGCCUUCGGUUUGUAAAACUCUUUCAGCGGGGAGGCGUUACUCGCAGAAGAAGCACCGGCUAACUCCGUGCCAGCAGCCGCGGUAAUAC
rnacentral:rRNA from 1 species